rnacentral:rRNA from 1 species
GAUGAACGCUGACAGCAUGCUUAACACAUGCAAGUCUACUUGAAUUUGGGUUUUUUAACUUAGAUUUGGGUGGCGAACGGGUGAGUAACGCGUAAAGAACUUGCCUCACAGCUAGGGACAACAUUUGGAAACGAAUGCUAAUACCUGAUAUUAUGAUUAUAAGGCAUCUUAGAAUUAUGAAAGCUAUAUGCGCUGUGAGAGAGCUUUGCGUCCCAUUAGCUAGUUGGAGAGGUAACGGCUCACCAAGGCGAUGAUGGGUAGCCGGCCUGAGAGGGUGAACGGCCACAAGGGGACUGAGACACGGCCCUUACUCCUACGGGAGGCAGGAGGGGGGAAUAUUGGACAAUGGACCAAGAGUCUGAUCCAGCAAUUCUGUGUGCACGAUGACGUUUUUCGGAAUGUAAAGUGCUUUCAGUUGGGAAGAAAAAAAUGACGGUACCAACAGAAGAAGUGACGGCUAAAUACGUG